UGCGGGGUGGAGCAGCUUGGUAGCUCGUCGGGCUCAUAACCCGAAGGUCGUUGGUUCAAAUCCAGCCCCCGCUACCA
rnacentral:tRNA from 36 species